rnacentral:rRNA from 1 species
AGCGAACGCUGGCGGCAGGCCUAACACAUGCAAGUCGAACGAAGCCUUCGGGCUUAGUGGCGGACGGGUGAGUAACACGUGGGAACGUACCUUUUGGUUCGGAAUAACGCAGAGAAAUUUGCGCUAAUACCGAAUGAGCCCUUAGGGGGAAAGAUUUAUCGCCGAAAGAUCGGCCCGCGUUGGAUUAGGUAGUUGGUGUGGUAAAGGCGUACCAAGCCUACGAUCCAUAGCUGGUCUGAGAGGAUGAUCAGCCACACUGGGACUGAGACACGGCCCAGACUCCUACGGGAGGCAGCAGUGGGGAAUCUUGCGCAAUGGGCGAAAGCCUGACGCAGCCAUGCCGCGUGAAUGAUGAAGGUCUUAGGAUUGUAAAAUUCUUUUACCAGGGACGAUAAUGACGGUACCUGGAGAAAAAGCCCCGGCUAACUUCGUGCCAGCCGCCGCGGUAAGAC